rnacentral:rRNA from 1 species
CCUACGGGAGGCAGCAGUGGGGAAUAUUGGGCAAUGGAGGAAACCCUGAUCCAGCAACGCCGCGUGAGUGAAGAAGGAUUUCGGUAUGUAAAGCUCUGUGAUGAGGGAAGAAAACAAUGACGGUACCUGAGUAACAAGCCCCGGCUAACUACGUGCCAGCAGCCGCGGUAAUACGUAGGUGGCAAGCGUUAUCCGGAAUGACUGGGUGUAAAGGGAGCGUAGGCGGUAAUGGAAGUAUGGAGUGAAAGUCGGGGGCUCAACCUCCGCGCUGCUGUGGAAACUGUUUGACUGGAGUGCAGGAGAGGUAGGUGGAAUUCCUAGUGUAGCGGUGAAAUGCGUAGAUAUUAGGAGGAACACCAGUGGCGAAGGCGGCUUGCUGGACUGUAACUGACGUUGAGGCUCGAAAGCGUGGGGAGCAAACAGGAUUAGAUACCCUUGUAGUC